CCUACGGGAGGCAGCAGUGAGGAAUAUUGGUCAAUGGCCGAGAGGCUGAACCAGCGAAGUCGCGUGAGGGAAGAAGGCUCUACGGGUUGUAAACCUCUUUUGUCGGGGAGCAAAGUGAACCACGUGUGGCUCAUUGAGAGUACCCGAAGAAAAAGCAUCGGCUAACUCCGUGCAAGCAGCCGCGGUAAUACGGAGGAUGCGAGGGUUAUCCGGAUUUAUGGGGUUUAAAGGGUGCGCAGGCGGGGGUAAAAGUUAGCGGUCAACUUGCGGGGCUCAACCCCGGACUGCCGUUGAAACUGCAUCCCUUGAGUGCGCGAGAAGUAUGCGGAAUGCGUGGGGUAGCGGUGAAAUGCAUAGAUAUCGCGCAGAACUCCCAUUGCGAAGGCAGCAUACCGGCGCGCAACUGACGCUCAUGCACGAAAGCGUGGGUAUCGAACAGGAUUAGAUACCCCUGUAGUC
rnacentral:rRNA from 1 species